rnacentral:rRNA from 1 species
AGUGAACGCUGGCGGUAGGCCUAACACAUGCAAGUCGAACGGCCGCACAGUAAGCGCUUGCUCUUACGGGUGGCGAGUGGCGGACGGGUGAGGAAUACAUCGGAAUCUACUUUUUCGUGGGGGAUAACGUAGGGACACUUGCGCUACUACCGCAUACGACCUACGGGUGAAAGCAGUGGAUCUUCGGACCUUGCGCGAUUGAAUGAGCCGAUGUCGGAUUAGCUAGUUGGCGGGGUAAAGGCCCACCAAGGCGACGAUCCGUAGCUGGUCUGAGAGGAUGAUCAGCCACACUGGAACUGAGACACGGUCCAGACUCCUACGGGAGGCAGCAGUGGGGAAUAUUGGACAAUGGGCGCAAGCCUGAUCCAGCCAUACCGCGUGGGUGAAGAAGGCCUUCGGGUUGUAAAGCCCUUUUGUUGGGAAAGAAAAGCAGCAGGUUAAUACCCCGCUGUUCUGACGGUACCCAAAGAAUAAGCACCGGCUAACUUCGUG